GUGGAAUUCCAUGUAAACAAUCGACAAGUCGACACGUUGGCCCAGACUAGGAAGGUGGUACAGUGCUUGCAUCUACAAUGAAUUUAAUGGAUCUGUAAUCGAGACAACUGAGACUUGAAGACAGUGUUACCACAACUGAUUGACGAGUGAUGUUUGAUUUUAUCUGCAUAGUUACCAUCACAGCUUUCUUGAUGAGCUUUUAGAUGUGGGAAAGGAUCAACAGCACGAAUGAUGU